rnacentral:lncRNA from 1 species
AAAAAUUUCCUUAUCAAAGGGCAAAAUCAAAAGGUCAAACACAUCAAACGAAUGGGAAGUCAUAUUCCUGACUUGGUUCAGGCAUUUCCUUAUGUAGAAAAUGGUGAAGUAAACCUGGUUUUAUAGCUAGCUUAACCUCUCACUUGUAUGACAGUCGCAUAAAAUUCCAUUAUAUUGACAACAAUGUGUGAACAAAACAAACAGACAUGAUAGAUAAAAUAUUUAAAUUUAAAAAAUAGGGGUACAGCAGUCAACAUUGUGUUAUAAUCUUAAUCACUAUAAAAAAAGACAAAUAUGUCAACAAAGAAAAUAAAAUGGCAUAUAGACCAAAGCGCAUAGGUAAAAAUAUACAAGAAUACAAAAAUGACCAUAGCAAAAUAACACAAUGGCGGGAUGUUUAAGUACUGAGCCACACCAAAAAAUCCCAAAAGGGUAUUACAAAAAAGGGCUUAACAGUAAAAGUAAUUUACGAAGACAAAAAAAGGAAAACUACAACACAUAAUUAGGAUGAUAAACAACGUCAGUGACUAACAUUUAUACUUCAAGACCAUCAUGUAUUAUUUGUGCAGUCGAAAUAUGUAUCAACAAAGUCUUGGUAUCUUCUGAAGAACUUAAGCAAAAGACUCAUCAGUGACGAUCGAAAAACAAAAUAUUAAAAAGGCAAGCAGGAAGUUGUAAAGCAUUGCGCUAAAACACCACCAAACAACACAUGGUGCAGAUAGCCUGACUUGAAAGAGGCCAAACAUUUGCUUGGUAGUAGGUUUUAAAAUGUCUUUUUUGACAUUUGAUAUGUUCUCAACUAUUUGAAAAUAUAAUAUAACCAAACAAUUAUCACUGAUCUGUUUGGAUUUAAAAUCCUUUUGUCUGAUGGAUGAAAGAUAAGUUCAUUUGACAGAUC